rfam:Chelonia mydas contig237795, whole genome shotgun sequence.
UGUAAACAUCCCCGACUGGAAGCUGUAAGAGAAAUUCUAGCUUUCAGUCAGAUGUUUGCU